rnacentral:rRNA from 1 species
AUACUGCAGUCGGACGGGAUCCAUCGGUAGCUUGCUACCGAUGGUGAGAGUGGCGCACGGGUGCGUAACGCGUGAGCAACCUGCCCAUAUCAGGGGGAUAGCCCGGAGAAAUCCGGAUUAACACCGCAUGACACUGCUUUCCGGCAUCGGGAGGUGGUCAAAUAUUCAUAGGAUAUGGAUGGGCUCGCGUGACAUUAGCUAGUUGGUGGGGUAACGGCCCACCAAGGCGACGAUGUCUAGGGGCUCUGAGAGGAGAAUCCCCCACACUGGUACUGAGACACGGACCAGACUCCUACGGGAGGCAGCAGUAAGGAAUAUUGGUCAAUGGGGGCAACCCUGAACCAGCCAUGCCGCGUGCAGGACGACUGCCCUAUGGGUUGUAAACUGCUUUUGUUAGGGAAUAAACCCCGCUACGUGUAGCGGGCUGAAUGUACCUAAAGAAUAAGGAUCGGCUAACUCCGUGCCAGCAGCCGCGGUAAUACGGAGGAUCCGAGCGUUAUCCGGAUUUAUUGGGUUUAAAGGGUGCGUAGGCGGCACUUUAAGUCAGGGGUGAAAGACGGCAGCUCAACUGUCGCAGUGCCCUUGAUACUGAAGUGCUUGAAUGCGGUUGAAGACGGCGGAAUGAGACAAGUAGCGGUGAAAUGCAUAGAUAUGUCUCAGAACACCGAUUGCGAAGGCAGCUGUCUAAGCCGUUAUUGACGCUGAUGCACGAAAGCGUGGGGAUCGAACAGGAUUAGAUACCCUGGUAGUCCACGCCCUAAACGAUGAUGACUCGAUGUUUGCGAUAUACCGUAAGCGUCCAAGCGAAAGCGUUAAGUCAUCCACCUGGGGAGUACGCCCGCAAGGGUGAAACUCAAGA